GGUGCUAUAAUGCAGUCGAGCGGACCGAAGGGAGCUUGCUCCUUUAGGUUAGCGGCGGACGGGUGAGUAACACGUGGGCAACCUGCCCUGCAGACUGGGAUAACUUCGGGAAACCGGAGCUAAUACCGGAUAACACCGAAAACCGCAGGGUUUUCGGUUGAAAGGCGGCUUUUAGCUGUCACUGCAGGAUGGGCCCGCGGCGCAUUAGCUAGUUGGUGAGGUAACGGCUCACCAAGGCGACGAUGCGUACCCGACCUGAGAGGGUGACCGGCCACACUGGGACUGAGACACGGCCCAGACUCCUACGGGAGGCAGCAGUAGGGAAUCUUCCGCAAUGGACGAAAGUCUGACGGAGCAACGCCGCGUGAGCGAAAAAGGUCUUCGGAUCGUAAAGCUCUGUUGUCAGGGAAGAACAAGUGCCGUUCGAACAGGGCGGUACCUUGACGGUACCUGACGAGGAAGCCACGGCUAACUACGUGCCGCCCCCCCGGGGAAA
rnacentral:rRNA from 1 species